AUAAUACUCCCUCCGUCCGAAAUUACUUGUCAUCAAAAUGGAUGUGUCUAGAACUAAAAUACAUCUAGAUACAUCCAUUUCAAUGACAAGUAUUUCCGGACGGAGGGAGUAGUAG
rnacentral:pre_miRNA from 1 species